rnacentral:rRNA from 1 species
CAAGCGUGAGGUAAGGGCAAUUCGUGGAUGCCUUGGCAUGUACAGGCGAUGAAGGACGUGGCACGCUGCGAUAAGCGUCGGUGAGGUGUGAGCAACCUUUGACCCGACGAUUUCCGAAUGGGGAAACCCACCUAUCCGAUUAAUCCUGAGUGUCGGCAACGACGGUCAGGGUUAAUGGGACAAGGUAUCUCGAGACUGAAUACAUAGGUUUCGAGAAGCGAACCCGGCGAACUGAAACAUCUCAGUACCCGGAGGAAAAGACAUCAACCGAGAUUCCGUUAGUAGUGGCGAGCGAACGCGGACCAGGCCAGUGCCUGACAUUCAACUAGCAGAACAGCGUGGAAAAGCUGACCAUAGCGGGUGACAGUCCCGUAUGCGAAAGUGAUGUGUCAGGACUCGAGUAGGGCGGAACACGUGUAAUUCUGUCUGAACAUGGGGGGACCACCCUCCAAGCCUAAAUACUCGUACAUGACCGAUAGCGAACUAGUACCGUGAGGGAAAGGUGAAAAGCACCCCGAUGAGGGGAGUGAAACAGUACCUGAAACGGAUUGCCUACAAGCAGUUGGAGCCUCUUCAUGGGGUGACAGCGUACCUCUUGCAUAAUGGGUCUGUGACUUAAUCUAUCAAGCAAGCUUAAGCCGUUAGGUGUAGGCGCAGCGAAAGCGAGUCUGAACAGGGCGCUUUAGUUUGAUGGAUUAGACCCGAAACCCGGCGAUCUAGGCAUGACCAGGAUGAAGGUGGGGUAACACCCACUGGAGGUCCGAACCGAUUAACGUUGAAAAGUUACCGGAUGAGUUGUGUUUAGGGGUGAAAGGCCAAUCAAGCCGGGAAAUAGCUGGUUCUCCGCGAAAACUAUUGAGGUAGUGCCUCGGAUGGACACCUUAUGGGGUAGAGCACUGGAUGGUUGCGGGGGUCGCGAGAUCUACCAAUACUAACCAAACUCCGAAUACAUAAGAGUGAUAUCCGGGAGACAGACGGCGGGUGCUAAGGUCCGUCGUCAAAAGGGAAACAGCCCUGACCUACAGCUAAGGUCCCCAAGUCGUGUCUAAGUGGGAAAGCAUGUGGGAAUCCCAAAACAACCAGGAGGUUGGCUUAGAAGCAGCCAUCCUUUAAAGAAAGCGUAACAGCUCACUGGUCUAAACAAGGGUUCCUGCGGCGAAGAUGUAACGGGGCUCAAGACACGCACCGAAGCUUAGGGUGUGAUCUUACGAUCACGCGGUAGCGGAGCGUUCCGUACGCCUGUGAAGCGAUCUGGUAAUGGGUCGUGGAGGUAUCGGAAGUGCGAAUGCAGACAUGAGUAGCGAUAAAGAGGGUGAGAUGCCCUCUCGCCGAAAGACCAAGGGUUCCUGCGCAAGGCUAAUCCGCGCAGGGUGAGCCGGCCCCUAAGACGAGCCCGAAGGGGGUAGUCGAUGGGAACCACGUUAAUAUUCGUGGGCCUGGUGGUGUGUGACGGAUGGCGUGUGUUGUACGAUCUUAUCGGAUUGAUCGUGCUUCGAAGCUGUCCCGGGAAAUAGCCCCACCGUAUAGACCGUACCCGAAACCGACACAGGUGGUCAGGUAGAGUAUACCAAGGCGCUUGAGAGAAGUGUCCUGAAGGAACUCGGCAAAUUGCCUCCGUACCUUCGGAAGAAGGAGGCCCAGCAUAGGCGCAAGCUCUUGCUGGGGGCACAGGCCAGGGGGUAGCGACUGUUUAGCAAAAACACAGGGCUCUGCUAAGUCGGCUUCAAGACGACGUAUAGGGCCUGACGCCUGCCCGGUGCCUGAAGGUUAAGUGGAGGGGUGCAAGCUCUGAAAUGAAGCCCAGGUAAACGGCGGCCGUAACUAUAACGGUCCUAAGGUAGCGAAAUUCCUUGUCGGG